ACCAGACUCCUACGGGAGGCAGCAGUGGGGAAUAUUGCACAAUGGGGGAAACCCUGAUGCAGCGACGCCGCGUGAGUGAAGAAGUAUUUCGGUAUGUAAAGCUCUAUCAGCAGGGAAGAUAAUGACGGUACCUGACUAAGAAGCCCCGGCUAACUACGUGCCAGCAGCCGCGGUAAUACGUAGGGGGCAAGCAUUAUCCGGAUUUACUGGGUGUAAAGGGUGCGCAGGUGGCAGGGCAAGUCAGAUGUGAAAGCCCGGGGCUCAACCCCGGUAUUGCAUUUGAAACUGUCCGGCUAGAGUGCAGGAGAGGUAAGCGGAAUUCCUAGUGUAGCGGUGAAAUGCGUAGAUAUUAGGAGGAACACCAGUGGCGAAGGCGGCUUACUGGACUGUAACUGACACUGAGGCACGAAAGCGUGGGGAGCAAACAGGAUUAGAUACCCCAGUAU
rnacentral:rRNA from 1 species